CUGCCUCAGCCCAGCCUGGCCUCCUGCAGGAACGUGGGGAGCUAGUCCCUGCCCAAACUGAACUUUUGCCUUCUUACAGGGCUCGGGUGCAUCUUAUUUCCAUCCUCUCCCUGCCCCUGGCGUCUCCUGCAGCUGGAUGGUUGUUGGCACCAAAGGCAGCAGGUGUGCUGGAAGAGGAAAAGGAAGAGGAAAAGACCUGAUUGCUGUGGAGCAAAUUCCCCAUCCAUGGCAUCAUCCAGUUAAUAGAAUUGGAUCUGCUGGAGGCAAGCUCAUCAAAUGUGGGAUGCACAAUGAAUCUACUCUGGCCUCUGUCUCUGAUUCACCACGUGCCAUGAGUCCAGCAAUUCAUCACUGCCUGAAGCUUUCCUGACUUCCCUGGCAGUUGCAGGAAGGUGCAUGGACACCCUGUGGAAGCAGAUCUCCAGGAGAACCAUCCACCUCAUCCCUGGCAAGCAGAUCCAGGUUCCUCCAGUUUUCCAGCAGGAUUUGCAGUGGGUGGUCACAGACUGGAGAGCUUGGCAGCUUUUUCAGUGCUGCUGUUUGCUGCAGGAGCCACACAUUUUUACC